UGGACUGUAACUGACGCUGAGGCGCGAAAGUGUGGGGAGCAAACAGGAUUAGAUACCCUGGUAGUCCACACUGUAAACGAUGAAUGCUAGGUGUAGGGGGUAUCGACCCCUUCUGUGCCGCAGUCAACACAAUAAGCAUUCCGCCUGGGGAGUACGGCCGCAAGGUUGAAACUCAAAGGAAUUGACGGGGGCCCGCACAAGCAGCGGAGCAUGUGGUUUAAUUCGACGCAACGCGAAGAACCUUACCAGGUCUUGACAUCCAGUUAAAGCAUAAGAGAUUAUGUGUGUGCUUGCACAAACUGAGACAGGUGGUGCAUGGUUGUCGUCAGCUCGUGUCGUGAGAUGUUGGGUUAAGUCCCGCAACGAGCGCAACCCUUACAUUCAGUUACUAACGUGUGAAGGCGAGGACUCUGAAUGGACUGCCGGGGACAACUCGGAGGAAGGUGGGGACGACGUCAAAUCAUCAUGCCCCUUAUGACCUGGGCUACACACGUGCUACAAUGGCCACCACAGAGAGGAGCGAACCUGCGAGGGGGAGCGGAUCUCAAAAAAGUGGUCCCAGUUCGGAUUGUGGGCUGCAACCCGCCCACAUGAAGUCGGA
rnacentral:rRNA from 1 species